GUUUUUUGUCGUCGGAAUCUCUAUAAAGCGGCUCUCUACUUCAUUUAUCUUUGAAUCAGAUACAAUCGGUAUAGCGCCAAUAAGUACUGAAAACUUCCGUAGUUGAAAAUGAGUCGGCCGAUGGAAGAAGAUACUGUAAAGAAUGAGGAAGAGGAACUUAACACAGGACCUCUGUCCGUUCUGAUGAUGAGUAUUAAAAAUAACACUUAGCCGGGUGAGAGCUUUCGAUCGGCACUGCAACAUGGUUCUGGAAAAUGUCAGGGAGAUGUGGACUGAGGCACCAAAGACUGGGAAAGGCAAGAAAAAGGCCCAUUCAGUUAACAAGGAUAGAUUCAUCAGUGAGAUGUUGCUUAGGGGAGAUUCUGUUAUAAUUGUUCUCAGAAAUCCCAAGUAAAUGUAUUACAUUUGGUGUUGUCAGUUAUGAAGCUACCUGGGAAUUUGGACUU